rnacentral:rRNA from 1 species
AUGCAGUCGAACGGUAACAGGUCUUCGGAUGCUGACGAGUGGCGAACGGGUGAGUAAUACAUCGGAACGUGCCCAGACGUGGGGGAUAACGAGGCGAAAGCUUUGCUAAUACCGCAUACGAUCUAAGGAUGAAAGCAGGGGACCGCAAGGCCUUGCGCGUUUGGAGCGGCCGAUGGCAGAUUAGGUAGUUGGUGGGAUAAAAGCUUACCAAGCCGACGAUCUGUAGCUGGUCUGAGAGGACGACCAGCCACACUGGGACUGAGACACGGCCCAGACUCCUACGGGAGGCAGCAGUGGGGAAUUUUGGACAAUGGGCGAAAGCCUGAUCCAGCAAUGCCGCGUGCAGGAUGAAGGCCUUCGGGUUGUAAACUGCUUUUGUACGGAACGAAAAGGCUCUGGCUAAUACCUGGGGCACAUGACGGUACCGUAAGAAUAAGCACCGGCUAACUACGUGCCAGCCCCCGCCGGGUAAAAAAACGACGAUAAUAGGGCGACCGUGUUUAUAUUCUCCUUUUGCUUUUUAU